rnacentral:rRNA from 1 species
CCUNAUGCUUUUGGAGCGGCCGAUGUCUGAUUNGCUAGUUGGUGGGGNAAUGGCCUACCAAGGCGACGAUCAGUAGUUGGUCUGAGAGGACGGCCAGCCACACUGGGACUGAGACACGGCCCAGACUCCUACGGGAGGCAGCAGUGGGGAAUUUUGGACAAUGGGCGCAAGCCUGAUCCAGCAAUGCCGCGUGAGUGAAGAAGGCCUUCGGGUUGUAAAGCUCUUUCAGUUGAGAAGAAAAAAUCGUGACUAAUAAUUGCGAUUUAUGACGGUAUCAACAGAAGAAGCACCGGCUAACUACGUGCCAGCAGCCGCGGUAAUACGUAGGGUGCGAGCGUUAAUCGGAAUUACUGGGCGUAAAGGGUGCGCAGGCGGUUUUGUAAGUCAGAUGUGAAAUCCCCGGGGCUUAACUGGGAAUU